GUGACCUUUAAUCUAUGCAGUCUGCCACCUUGGCCUGCGACUGGGAAGAACUCAAGAAGUGCACAGAAAACACCGUUAAGAAAAGAGUCAACAGAUCUUCCGAGCACGAAGAUCGUACACACUGCUCCAUGCAAGUGUAAGCAGAAGAUCUAAUGUUUGGCCAUUCUACAUUGAAAGGUCUGAAGAAAACUGUAACGUUUGGCUUAAACCCAUCAGGGUUUCUCCUAGACUUUCAGAAGCCAUUGAAAAGGAACAUUUUACAAAAAGAAAAAGA